rnacentral:rRNA from 1 species
UUUAUGGAGAGUUUGAUCCUGGCUCAGAGUGAACGCUAGCGGCGUGCCUAACACAUGCAAGUCGAGCGAAAUUAUGCAAGAGUAUCGCAUGAUUUAGCGGCAAACGGGUGAGUAACACGUAGAAAAUCUACCUUAAAAUGUGGGAUACCUUUAAGAAAUUAAAGUUAAUACCGCAUAGUAUUAUGGUUUGGCAUCAAACUAUAAUAAAAGCAGAAAUGUGUUUUAAGAUGAUUCUGCGUCCUAUCAGCUAGUUGGUAAGAUAACAGCUUACCAAGGCUUUGACGGGUAUCUGGCCUGAAAGGGUGAACGGACACAUUGGAACUGAGACACGGUCCAAACUCCUACGGGAGGCAGCAGUGGGGAAUAUUGGACAAUGGGGGAAACCCUGAUCCAGCGACGCCGCGUGAAGGAUGAAGGCCUUAGGGUUGUAAACUUCUUUUAGGAGGAAAGAAAAAAAUGACGGUACCUCCAGAAAAAGCCACGGCUAACUACGUGCCAGCAGCCGCGGUAAUACGUAGGUGGCAAGCGUUACUCGGAAUUACUAGGCGUAAAGAGUAUGUAGGUGGUAAGAUAAGUCUUUAGUGAAAUUUUUUAGCUUAACUAAGAAAGGUCUGAGGAUACUAUUUUACUUGAGUAUAGGAGAGGAAGAUGGAAUUCCUGGUGUAGCGGUGGAAUGCGUAGAUAUCAGGAAGAACACCAAUGGCGAAGGCAAUCUUCUAGACUAUUACUGACACUGAGAUACGAAAGCUAGGGGAGCAAACAGGAUUAGAUACCCUGGUAGUCCUAGCUGUAAACGAUGUUCACUAGAUGUAGGGGGUAUCGACCCCUUCUAUGUCGUAGCUAACGCGUUAAGUGAACCGCCUGGGGAGUACGACCGCAAGGUUGAAACUCAAAGGAAUUGACGGGGGCCCGCACAAGCGGUGGAGUAUGUGGUUUAAUUCGACGCAACGCGAAGAACCUUACCUGGGCUUGAACUG